rnacentral:misc_RNA from 1 species
UUGUGUUGGCUUGGCUCCUGAGAACAACAUGAUUUUGGAAUACAAGUGAAAGAAUAGAGGAGGAAAAUAGUGGAAGGAAGGAGAUCGGUCCAGGAGCUAAAAGAGCCAUCUCCCUUGUUUCACUGAUUCUAUUGUUAAUGGCUUUCAUAUAUGUAAUAUUUGUGUGAUAUUGCCAUUUAAUUUUUCCAUUUAUGGAUUUUGUGUUCAUUUCUUUUUUGCUUUGGUCAGUGGCUUUAGGUCUGUUUAUUGACCAGGCAACUUCUUUUGUCCUGGAAGUAGUAGGUUUAUAUAUACAAAAUAAAAUAUGGAGCUUUUCCUCUGGUUUACUAGUUUGCCUCCUGCUUCCUGGAUACUUUCCCUUAGCCUUGCAAGGGCAAUGCAUUAUGAAUUAUGAUGUCCUUUCAAUUCAGGGGUAGUGCCAUUCAAUUAUUGAUCACUUGAUUAAUGUUAUGUUCGCCACCAGCCAAGGCAUUAUUGAGGCAGCUUGUCAGUUACCACGGAGAGGGGCAAACAUAAAUAUAUGAAUGGUCCCGGCUCUCCUUUGCUCCAGUACCAUACACGUGGAAUGCCCAUAAAUGUUGGGACAUGAGCAUUUUCGGAAGGGCCACAUCCAACGGCUGCAGGAUAAAUUGAUACAUGAAUGCAUAUAUCCCAGGACAUUUAAUUCUUGUUGGUAUAUGGUGGUCCUGUCACCUGUGAGUCUCAUGUCCCAGGG